UGCGUUUGUAAAUCAUGACUUUCUCUUGUAUCUCAUCUGAGUAUAUGAGAGAAAGCCAUGACUUACACAC
rnacentral:pre_miRNA from 1 species